rnacentral:rRNA from 1 species
CUACGGGGUGCUGCAGUGAGGAAUAUUGCACAAUGGGGGGAACCCUGAUGCAGCAACGCCGCGUGGAGGAUGACGCAUUUCGGUGUGUAAACUCCUUUUAUAUGUCAAGAAAAUGACGGUAGCAUAUGAAUAAGCACCGGCUAACUCCGUGCCAGCAGCCGCGGUAAUACGGAGGGUGCAAGCGUUACUCGGAAUCACUGGGCGUAAAGGACGGGUAGGCGGGUUGGAAAGUCAGGUGUGAAAUCCUACAGCUUAACUGUAGAACUGCACUUGAAACUUCCAAUCUAGAGUAUGGGAGGGGGAGAUGGAAUUAGUGGUGUAGGGGUAAAAUCCGUAGAUAUCACUAGGAAUACCUAAAGCGAAGGCGAUCUCCUGGAACAUUACUGACGCUAAGGCGUGAGAGCGUGGGGAGCAAACAGGAUUAGAUACCCCAGUAGUC